GACGAACGCUGGCGGCGUGCCUAAUACAUGCAAGUCGAACGCAUUUUCUUUCACCGUAGCUUGCUACACCGAAAGAAAAUGAGUGGCGAACGGGUGAGUAACACGUGGGUAACCUGCCCAUCAGCGUGGGAUAACACUUGGAAACAGGUGCUAAUACCGCAUAAUUCCAUUUACUGCAUGGUAGAUGGAUGAAAGGCGCUUUUGCGUCACUGUUGGAUGGACCCGCGGUGCAUUAGCUAGUUGGUGGGUUAACGGCCUACCAAGGCUGAGAUGCAGAGCCGACCUGGGAGGGUGAUCGGCCAAACUGGGACUGAGACACGGCCCAGAAUCCUACGGGAGGCAGCAGUAGGGAAUCUUCGGAAAUGGACGCAAGGCUGAACGAGCAACGCCGCGUGAGUGAAGAAGGUUUUCGGAUCGUAAAACUCUGUUGUUAGAAAAGAACAAGGAUGAGAGUGGAAAGUUCAUCCCUUGACGGUAUCUAACCAGAAAGCCACGGCUAACUACGUG
rnacentral:rRNA from 1 species